UUGUUUCGCAAAAGUUGACCGAACUUGAUUAUUUAGAGGAAGUAAAAGUCGUAACAAGGUUUCGUAGGUGAACCUGCGGAAGGAUCAUUAU
rnacentral:rRNA from 1 species